rnacentral:rRNA from 1 species
UACGAAGGGGGCUAGCGUUGUUCGGAUUUACUGGGCGUAAAGCGCGUGUAGGCGGCUCGGCAAGUCGGAUGUGAAAGCCCUGGGCUUAACCUAGGAAGUGCAUUCGAAACUGCCAAGCUUGAGUUCUGGAGAGGAAGGCGGAAUUCUCGGUGUAGAGGUGAAAUUCGUAGAUAUCGAGAGAAACACCGGUGGCGAAGGCGGCCUACUGGACAGCAACUGACGCUGAGACGCGAAAGCGUGGGGAGCAAACAGGAUAAGAACCCCUGGUAGUCCAAGAACCGAAUGUAC